AUUGAACGCUGGCGGCAGGCCUAACACAUGCAAGUCGAACGCGUGGCGGACGGGUGAGUAAUGUCUGGGAAACUGCCUUAUGGAGGGGUAUAACUACUGAAAACGGUAGCUAAUACCGCAUACCCUCGGAUGUGCCCAGAUGGGCGGAGCUAGUAGGUGGGGUAACGGCUCACCUAGUCGACGAUCCCUCGCUGGUCUGAGAGGAUGACCAGCCACACUGGAACUGAGACACGGUCCAGACUCCUACGGGAGGCAGCAGUGGGGAAUAUUGCACAAUGGGCGCAAGCCUGAUGCAGCCAUGCCGCGUGUAUGAAGAAGGCCUUCGGGUUGUAAAGUACUUUCAGCGGGGAGGCGUUACCCGCAGAAGAAGCACCGGCUAACUCCGUGCCAGCAGCCGCGGUAAUUC
rnacentral:rRNA from 1 species